GAUGAACGCUGGCGGCGUGCUUAACACAUGCAAGUCGAACGAAGAAAAUAAGAAUGAGAGCUUCGGCAGGAAUUUUCUUUUCUAGUGGCGGACGGGUGAGUAACGUGUGGGCAACCUGCCCUGUACUGUGGAAUAAUCACUGGAAACGGUGACUAAUACCGCAUGUCAUUACCGGAGGGCAUCCUCUGGUAAAAAAAGGAUUUAUUCGGUACAGGAUGGGGCCCGCAUCUGAUUAGCUAGUUGGUGAGGUAACGGCUCACCAAGGCGACGAUCAGUAGCCGGCCUGAGAGGGUGACCGGCCACAUUGGGACUGAGACACGGCCCAAACUCCUACGGGAGGCAGCAGUGGGGAAUAUUGCACAAUGGGGGAAACCCUGAUGCAGCAACGCCGCGUGAGGGAAGACGGUUUUCGGAUUGUAAACCUCUGUCCUCUGUGAAGAAGAAAGUGACGGUAGCAGAGGAGGAAGCCACGGCUAACUACGUG
rnacentral:rRNA from 1 species